UAGGGAAUCUUCGGCAAUGGGGGGAACCCUGACCGAGCAACGCCGCGUGAGUGAAGAAGGUUUUCGGAUCGUAAAGCUCUGUUGUUAAGGAAGAACCAGUGUGAGAAUGGAAAGUUCAUACUGUGACGGUACUUAACCAGAAAGGGACGGCUAACUACGUGCCAGCAGCCGCGGUAAUACGUAGGUCCCGAGCGUUGUCCGGAUUUAUUGGGCGUAAAGCGAGCGCAGGCGGUUAGAUAAGUCUGAAGUUAAAGGCAGUGGCUCAACCAUUGUAGGCUUUGGAAACUGUUUAACUUGAGUGCAGAAGGGGAGAGUGGAAUUCCAUGUGUAGCGGUGAAAUGCGUAGAUAUAUGGAGGAACACCGGUGGCGAAAGCGGCUCUCUGGUCUGUAACUGACGCUGAGGCUCGAAAGCGUGGGGAGCGAACAGG
rnacentral:rRNA from 1 species